rnacentral:rRNA from 1 species
AUUGAACGCUGGCGGCAUGCUUUACACAUGCAAGUCGAACGGCAGCACGGGGCAACCUGGUGGCGAGUGGCGAACGGGUGAGUAAUACAUCGGAACGUGCCCAAUCGUGGGGGGAUAACGUAGCGAAAGUUACGCUAAUACCGCAUACGAUCUACGGAUGAAAGCGGGGGAUCGCAAGACCUCGCGCGAAUGGAGCGGCCGAUGUCAGAUUAGGUAGUUGGUGGGGUAAAGGCUCACCAAGCCGACGAUCUGUAGCUGGUCUGAGAGGACGACCAGCCACACUGGGACUGAGACACGGCCCAGACUCCUACGGGAGGCAGCAGUGGGGAAUUUUGGACAAUGGGCGCAAGCCUGAUCCAGCCAUGCCGCGUGCGGGGAAGAA